UGGUAUAGUCGAUUGAAUUUCAGGAGUGUGGGGUUUAUUGUAUUGGCAGAGGGUUGAGUUAGAUUUUAUUUGGGGCAUUUUCUCAAUGUAAUAUUCUACGUAGGAUGGAAUUGUCAGUCACCCUUAGGUCUAUGCCAAUCAACCUAUUUCUCUUCAUUCACCACCAGAAGUUGCAACCUGUUUUGAAACAAGAGGAGAGGCAGGAGUAAACCUCACCAUCUUAAUUGAAGAGGUUUACAGAAGGAGCAUAUUGACUAAUAUGUUAUUAGCAGACAUUGUUUACUGAAGAAGUUGGCUCGUGCAGACCAAGAAUCUGGAUAAAGAAGAAAAACCAGAGGUGGGACUUUGCAAUUUUCCCUAUGGCUUAUAGGACCAGAAAGGGCCUUUAUGUUAUGUUUUCAGUUUUCUCAUUGGGAUGCUGGAGGGGGCAGGAGUGGGUUUAAAAAAAAAAAAAAGAGGCCUGGCCAUAUUCCUGAAUAAGGGCUAACUAGGGAAUGGGGAUUUUUUAUACAGUAGAAAAAGCAUUAACGGCUGAGGAAACCGGCAUGGAAAUUGCAUUAACAGAAUGAUUCUUUUACCAGGUCUCACGGCAGGGAAGAAAAGACUCUACGUCAUUGGAUCGCACUGCACACAAUUGCCGAAGCAAUUUGUGUUGUUUGUUAUUUAAUGGAUUCCUGAUGGCAAGCAUAUACAUUCUCUUUCUGGAUAGGCUAUUUACACGUUUUCCAAGAGAAAUAGAGAAUUAUUGUCAGGCUAGGUACUAGGAGCACACGCUGAAUACAAGCUGUAGUUUAGAAUCCAGUUUUACAAUGGGGAAAACUGUUCAAAUUUGAAGAGUCGGAGGUGAACUCAUCCAGCUUGGGCUAAGAUUUUGUUUGUUUGUUUUCUCCUCAAUUGGCACCACAGUGACAAUGUGGAUGACAGAUAUGGAACACACAGUAGCAGAGAAGAGGAUUGUGGAGCAGAUAAUAUUAUAAUUGUAUUUCAAUACCAAUUUAGUCUUUUCUUUGACUGAGAUUCUACAUUGGGUCUGCAUUGUGUAAAUCUAAACUUAUCCAUUUACAUGGCCGUUGUGCUGCAGCACCUUUCUACUGAAUAUUGACACUGACAAUCUGCAACUGUUUGUA
rnacentral:lncRNA from 1 species